rnacentral:rRNA from 1 species
AUUGAACGCUGGCGGCAGGCCUAACACAUGCAAGUCGAGCGGGGUUUUCGGACCUAGCGGCGGACGGGUGAGUAAUGCGUAGGAAGCUACCCGAUAGAGGGGGAUAUCAGUUGGAAACGACUGUUAAUACCGCAUAAUGUCUACGGACCAAAGUGUGGGACCUUCGGGCCACAUGCUAUCGGAUGCGCCUACGUGGGAUUAGCUAGUUGGUGGGGUAAUGGCUCACCAAGGCGACGAUCCCUAGCUGGUUUGAGAGGAUGAUCAGCCACACUGGAACUGAGACACGGUCCAGACUCCUACGGAGGCAGCAGUGGGGAAUAUUGGACAAUGGGCGCAAGCCUGAUCCAGCCAUGCCGCGUGUGUGAAGAAGGCCUUCGGUU